AAGGGCGACUGAAGCGUCAUGAGCUCAAAUUGUGAAUCAGCGGCGCCGAAUUGUGAUCUAGAAAUACUUGCGCUUGGGUUAAGUCCCUUGGAACAGGGCAGCUGAGAGGGUGAGACUCCCGUGUGCCUGGCUUUAUUAAUGAGUCGAGUUGUUUGGGAUUGCAGCUCUAAGUGGGUGGUAAAUUCCAUCUAAAGCUAAAUACUGGUGGGAAACCGAUAGCGUACAAGUACCGUGAGGGAAAGAUGCAAAGAACUUUGAAAAGAGAGUUAAAAAGUACCUGAAAUUGCUGAAAAGGAAGCGAAGGAAACCAGUGUUGCUGUGUCAUACUUCCCCGCUCGCUUGCGGUCGGGGCGCUGUGGCCAGCGUUGUCCUGCUUGAU
rnacentral:rRNA from 1 species